AUUUGACUACGAUGUAAAUAUGUUGUGCUUUCCUUCAACUGUAGUGGAGAAAAAAAAAACGCCUGCUAUAAAUUACAUUCAUCUUUAUACUCUGUGGACAUAUUUGUCUUCUAACAGCUUCAGCAACAGCUUGGUAAAAAUAAAGAAGCAAACAUACAAGUCAGCCUGAAGUUUUUGGAGUCGACAGUUAAGAGGAAAAGCAUAAUGGUGAUGGAGUAAUCUUGAAACUGGUGCAGGGAAUGUGUGGAUAAGAAGCUUGCUGUGCAGUCACCUGGUUCUGUGUUCAGUUGCAUUGCAGAACACCUUAGACAAUUGUCUUCACGUCGGCCAAUUUCCUGUGAGUGAAUUCGUUAGGCCUUUGAAAUCAUGAUUUAUAGUAGCAGCGAUGUAUCAUAAACGGUCACUACUCUAGUGAGGAACCAUUAAUAGUGGUGGGGACUGGAUUUCUAUUGAAGU